AUUUCGGGUUCCCUUGUUUCAGGUGAGUCUAAAUUAUUGGCAUCUUCUCCCGAAUCAGCAACUGCAUUGAUGCCCAAAGGAAUAAGGCUCAUCGUAGUUGUAGCACAACCCGUUGGAUUGACGUUCCUCCAUUUUAGCUCGAUUAAGUCGUUUCACAAAAGGGGUGGAGACACCCCCCACGCUACUGGUCAUUAUCAUGAUGGAUCCCCAUGUACUUUCCCCCGGAGGCUCCAACUGUUGCUACUUUUCAAAGGCUCGAGCUAGAUUCGUAGCCAUUUACAAAUUGGGUGGAUUCUGCAAUUUCACGUGCCUGUUUAGCAUUGAGGUUUCUAGACUAAAACUGCUUUUCAGAAAAAA
rnacentral:misc_RNA from 1 species